rnacentral:tRNA from 1 species
UGGGAUGUAGAUCAAUUGGUAGAUCAACUGUUUUUGGUACAGUAGGUUGUAGGUUCGAGUCCUACCAUCCCAGCCA